UACGAAGGGGGCUAGUGUUGCUCGGAAUCACUGGGCGUAAAGCGCACGUAGGCGGCUUUCUAAGUCAGGGGUGAAAUCCUGGAGCUCAACUCCAGAACUGCCUUUGAUACUGGAGAGCUCGAGUCCGGAAGAGGUGAGUGGAACUCCGAGUGUAGAGGUGAAAUUCGUAGAUAUUCGGAAGAACACCAGUGGCGAAGGCGGCUCACUGGUCCGGUACUGACGCUGAUGUGCGAAAGCGUGGGGAGCAAACAGG
rnacentral:rRNA from 1 species